rnacentral:rRNA from 1 species
GGGAGCCGAAAGGGGACCGACCUUCGGGAGCUGUCACAGGUGCUGCAUGGCUGUCGUCAGCUCGUGUCGUGAGAUGUCCGGUUAAGUCCGGUAACGAGCGCAACCCUCGGGGUUAGUUAUACGUGUCUAACCCGACUGCCCGUUGAACGCGGGAGGAAGGUGGGGAUGACGUCAAGUCAGCAUGGCCUUUAUAUCCAGGGCUACACACACGCUACAAUGGCCGGCACAAUGGGUCGCCAACCCGCGAGGGGGAGCCAAUCCAGCAAAGUCGGUCUCAGUUCGGAUUGCAGGCUGCAACCCGCCUGCAUGAAGUCGGAGUUGCUAGUAAACGCGCAUCAGCUACGGCGCGUUGAAUACGUUCCCGGGCCUUGUACACACCGCCCGUCACGUCAUGGGAGCUGGUCAUGCCUGAAGCCGGUGGGCUAACCGCAAGGAGGCGGCCGUCAAAGGCAGGGCUGGUGACUGGGACGAAGUCGUAACAAGGUAGCUGUACCGGAAGG